UCCAGACUCCUACGGGAGGCAGCAGUGGGGAAUAUUGCACAAUGGGCGAAAGCCUGAUGCAGCAACGCCGCGUGAAGGAAGACGGUUUUCGGAUUGUAAACUUCUAUCAAUAGGGAAGAAAGAAAUGACGGUACCUGACUAAGAAGCCCCGGCUAACUACGUGCCAGCAGCCGCGGUAAUACGUAGGGGGCAAGCGUUAUCCGGAUUUACUGGGUGUAAAGGGAGCGUAGACGGCGAAGCAAGUCUGAAGUGAAAACCCAGGGCUCAACCCUGGGACUGCUUUGGAAACUGUUUUGCUAGAGUGUCGGAGAGGUAAGUGGAAUUCCUAGUGUAGCGGUGAAAUGCGUAGAUAUUAGGAGGAACACCAGUGGCGAAGGCGGCUUACUGGACGAUAACUGACGUUGAGGCUCGAAAGCGUGGGGAGCAAACAGGAUUAGAUACCCUGGUAC
rnacentral:rRNA from 1 species